rnacentral:rRNA from 1 species
UACAGAGGGUGCAAGCGUUAAUCGGAAUUACUGGGCGUAAAGCGCACGUAGGCGGUUUUUUAAGUCAGAUGUGAAAGCCCCGGGCUCAACCUGGGAAUUGCAUUUGAAACUGGGAAACUAGAGUGUGUGAGAGGGAGGUAGAAUUCCAAGUGUAGCGGUGAAAUGCGUAGAGAUUUGGAGGAAUACCAGUGGCGAAGGCGGCCCCCUGGCACAACACUGACGCUCAGGUGCGAAAGCGUGGGGAGCAAACAGG